CACAGCCCCUAUCACCUCUUCAGCCAUUUCUUUUUAUCAAGAACCACCACAGGACUUCAAUUUUUGGUGAAAUAAGAAAAGGAUUUUGACCAAGGGGGUGUUUGGGAUGGCUUAUUUACGAUGCUUAUUGACUAAUUUUAGUCUGGUACUGACAAUAAAUUUGGAUGAGAAAAAAAAAUUUGGUUAUACCGGUGUCAAACAGGUUUUUGAUAAGUCAGUCUUAUCAAAAUCAACUUUUUUAACCCUGUAAUACCCUUUCUAUACCCUAUCCUCAACUGAUACGAACCACCGUCUGGGAGAAAUCAACAAAACCCUCCCCACCGCCUGUGAGAAGAAAUCGUCAUUGAAAACUUCCCCUGCUGAUUCGUUUCCUGUAUAACGUAUUGAGAUACGAACCAAAACCCUCCCUACCGCCUGUGAGAAAUCAUUGAUCUUCCAUUCGGUUUCUUUCUGUCUCAUCGUCGUCAGAAACUUCCCCUGCUGAAUUUGUUCUCCAGCAUAACGUGUUUUGAGGCUGGUGCUUUGGAUAUUUUUGCUAUUUUGUGCAUAGUUUUUGACAGCAGGAUUAGUUCGUUGAUUUGACGAUAUUGGAUUGAGAUUUGAAGAUGGAGAAAUUAGAAGACAAGUGGUGCAAGCGUUGGGCUAAACCAAGAAAUGAAGUGUAAAGAAGUCAAGUGAAGGAUGUGGAUGUGGGUGAUCAAAUGAAAAUCAACCCAAGGCCAAAGCCUUUUACCAUGGAGCCCAAAGAAUAAAUUAAUAAUUUUGCACGGUUCACUUCAAAGGCUAGAAGAAAAUUUGCAUGGCUGCUUAGAAACCAAAACCAAAACCAAAACCUGGCCAUGCAAGACGCCUGGGAUAUUUUGGUAAAUUCAUCUUGUGGGUAUAAAUACUUCUCCUAGGGUUUGAUUUUCUCUCUUCUUCUUCCCUUUUUGUUUCUCUGCAACGUCUAAGGUAUAGGUUUCUUUUUAUUUUAACAUUUGGUUCUUUGGAUUCUUCCUUUCAAUCAUUUAGAAUUAGGUUUUAGCUUUAGAUCUAGAUUUAUGUUAUUUUCUAUGUGAAUUCUUCGUUUUUUGCUAUUACGGAGAAAUCAUAAUUUUCUGGAUGGAAGAUGAAGAUGGGAGUUUUAUAAAUCCUCAUCAAUAACCAUCGCAUUGUAUCUCUAUAUCUUACCUUUUUGAUUAUUGAAUUUGUUCAUUUUU